rnacentral:rRNA from 1 species
GUGCCAGCAGCCGCGGUAAUACGAAGGGGGCUAGCGUUGCUCGGAAUUGCUGGGCGUAAAGGGCGCGUAGGCGGCACUGUUAGUCAGGCGUGAAAGUCCUGGGCUCAACCUGGGAACUGCGCUUGAUACGGCAGAGCUAGAGGAUGGAAGAGGCUCGCGGAAUUCCCAGUGUAGAGGUGAAAUUCGUAGAUAUUGGGAAGAACACCGGUGGCGAAGGCGGCGAGCUGGUCCAUUACUGACGCUGAGGCGCGACAGCGUGGGGAGCAAACAGGAUUAGAUACCCUGGUAGUCC